AGCAGUGCUCCGAGGGAGAGUGGAGAGGAUGGAGGAGAGAAAGUGGCAAUGACAGUUUGUAGGGCAGGCAUUUGCUAAGAGGUGGGAAGCGAAAGUGAAGGAAAGAAAGACGAAUAGAGAGAUUUACAGGCAGAGAGGAAAAAGAACAAACAGAGGGCAACCACGAGGUGUGAAGAGGGAGAAGGAAGUGGCAAAAGGAAAGGAGGCACAGGUGAAAAAGAGAGCAACAGAAACAACAGUAGGUUGACGUGUCACCAUGACAACAGAAGCAGGCUCUGAGAAAGCAGAGGAGGUGAAGGAGAAAGCAGAGGAGUCAGCUGCUCAAACAGACCAAUCAGAGAAGGCCACAGAAGAAACCCAGGAAGUGACAAAAGCAGAGAGCGAGGUUAACGAAAAAGAGAAGGAGAAGGAGAAAGAGGGGAAAGAGGGAAAAGGAAUAUCUCGAUACCUGCCAACAUGGCUUAAGAAGCAAAAGUCUCAAAGCCAGACGUCCCCGACAAAGGAAGCCCCACCUGCCGAGGAGCCCGACAGCAAGGUGACGCAGGAAGAGGAGGCGCCUGCCCCAGAGGUGAACGGUCACGCAGAGGAGGUGGAAGAGAAGGAGGAAGUGAAGUCGGAGCAAGUGAGGGAAAAAGAAGAAUCUCAUUCCAACGCCAGUGCAGACACUGAGGUAAUUUGUUGUGUCUUAUCCACAACAUAAUAGUCUAAGAGAUGAGGAGAGAAUGGGGUCUGCUUUACAGAAUAAGCAGCAGUUAUUGGUAGGUGCUCAUAAUACAAA
rnacentral:lncRNA from 1 species